rnacentral:misc_RNA from 1 species
UGAUCAAUCACACACCUCUCCCUGCACACUGCACACACACCUCAAAGCAAGCGUUCCUGUUGCUCUUCUUGCCAUCGCCCCUCACCUUAGUCGGCUAGCUGAUCCCCCUUUUUUCCGCUUCUUCUUCCCUCCGUGUCUUGUUUUCUUUUUGUUUCUUUGCGUAUGCGUGUGCACGUGCUCGUCUGCGUCUGUCCCGUUUUUUGUCGCGCGUGUGGAUGCACUCGCCUGUAGGGAGUGUGUAUUAAUUCUCUUUCCCUCUCUGUGUGUUUGUGUAUCGUGUUUGACGUGCCCAACUCCCUUUCUCACGUUCUAUGUUACUCUUCUCGUUCAGUCCCUGUCUCGCACACACACUCUUCCCUUCCUUCCCUUUCUCUCUCUUCUUGAUCUUUUUUUCAGUUUUUUUUCGUUCCUCCCUCGCCGUUUUCCUUCGCUUUCUUGUGUGUGUGUGUGUCGUUGUGUCAUUGUAGCCUCUGUCUGUUCGCGUGCCUCUUUUGGUGUGUUGCCACCUAUUUUUGUUGUUGUUCUUUGUUUGCUGACUUGUUUGCGGUGGUGGUGGCUGAUUGUACUUCGCUUCUUUUUCCUUUUGGUAUUUUGCGUUUUGCUGCUCUUGUGCGUAUGUAUCGGUGCUGUUGUUAGGGGUGGGGCUCUCCGUUUCUCGCGUGCUGCUUCUCUCUGCAUCGUCGCAUAAAAGAGCUUCUGUCUGCACGAGGCACAGAAUCAGAGCAAGACAAGCAGACACGCUACUCUACGUCCCGAACAUCAAGUUUUUGUUUGUCUUUCGUGUCGGUCGCUUGUGCGUCUUUUUGCGAGCGAGUGCGUGCGUGCCGUGUCGACUUUCCUCUUUUUUCAGCGGUAAACUCGCCUCACUCUUUGUUUCUUCGCACGCGCACUGGCGCGCGUGCCUGCGCAUACGUGCAUCUCGUGAAGUAGUGCAUUUCUUGUUUCGUAUAAUAGCUAUAUACAUGACCAAGAGAUCUUCCUUCAUCUUGCCAGUAUUCCUUCACCGUCUUGCUGUGUGCUCCUCUCCCACACAAACGCACGAGCGCCAGCACACACACGUACACGCGCACAGAUAAAAGAACGAAUAGCCGUAAACUGCCUCUCCCGCUCCCUCCAUUCCACACUUGCGCCUCCCACUUAGUCCGAGGACUGUGUCUUCGCUCGCACCUCUACUAUUGCGGCUGGUCGCCUCUUGCAACGCCGUCACAGUAUUGCGCUUCUCCAAGGGCUGCCUCACGGGACUUGGGCACGAGAAAAAGCGGGGAGACAUUAUAGACGGCACGGCACGUGAAACGCUGUUGUGCAACAGGGGGCGAGAGCGAAGCAAGAAGAAGUGAGGGGCGUCAUUCCUCGUGCUCGCUCGCUCAUUUUCUCUCGGUGGGCGUCGUCGGAGGUGCGAAACAAGAACGCAAAUUGGCGGAAGGACAGAAAACCCGAAAGCAGAAGAUUGAAAACGGUGAUUUUCUUUUCCUGUGAUCUGCUUGUAUGCAUGGUAACUGCGGGAAACGAAAAAAAAGCAAACGGGGAUAAAAGUAAAACGCCUCUGCCGUGAAGAUACGUGCACCACUAACCACGUAUAUUGUCCCUAGACUGCACGGCGCACCCUCCCCUCCCGCCAACGGCACGCACUCAGUCUAGCAAAAACGGAGAAGAGGCGCUUGUUCUCCUCGUUUGCGAAUUCGCCGGUUCUUUUCCCGUACGCCUUUUCCGUUGCUCCUAGUGAUUCCCUUCUUCCUUCGCCCCCCCACCCCCCAAAGCACACCCUUUUUGCUGACUGUUGUCAACAGCUUUUGUGUGUGUGGGUCUUCCUGUGCUCACGGCUCUCCCUCCCUACACACGCACCCACCCUCGCAGUCGCCAUUCUUUUCGCUCCUUUUUCGGCCUCAGUAAUACGGUUGCCAUUGUCUUUUUCGUUUGCGUGUCUCGGCGCGACGGCGAUUCCGUGCAGCCCUUCGGACAAGGGCGUACGGAGCCGGAAGGGAGAAAGUAAGGAGUGAAACGAAACAGAGAGCGUCUAUCCUCACACCGACAUCCCAAUAGCCCGUUGCUUGGCCAACACGGCGUUGCUGUGAGCUGACUGCUUCCGCUUCAUACUUGUAGCGUAUUUUUUUUUACGUACUCCUCCCUCUCCAUCUCCUGGAACUGCUGUGUUUUUUUUUUUUGUUCCUUCCGUGCCUGUGCAUCUCUCGCUUCCCCAACUGCAGUGUCUCCUUGCUUUGCCUUUCGCGUGUGUGUCUUGUCUGCACAAGAGCAGUAACUCAUCGGCUUGCGAAUCGAAGCAGCGUGCGCGCUUAUAUCCGUAUCAGCACAUACAUGUAUAUAUCGAUAUUGAUAUAUACACCUGCUUUAUUGCUUUCAACGCGAUCGCAGGCCCUCCCCCAUACACUUACACACGUGUCGCGUAGCGGUAACGGUAAUUUGCCUUCCCGUUGCUCAGAGUCGCGCUUAAGUGUAGGAGAGCACGCCCAAGGACUUCAAGAGAGACCCAGCACGCAUCUUCAACACUGCCAGCGGUUGUCUCGCCACUUCGAAGCUCUGCUGCGGCCCGCUAGCCAUCGCGCAAAUACUGGUCAGCCGGUGCGCGCACCAUAGGUCGAGUCAGCAAACAGGAGUGGAAGAAACGUACAUGUAGUUGCAUGGAGGACGAGAAAAUCCACAUCAUCAUUCCCUUAUUCCCACCCCAGCCAACCACCCACGCGCCGAGCCUUCACACGUGCAUUACCACCACCGCCCAUCGCAGACUUCCUCGGCGUGAGAUAAGGGCGACACAGUUUUUCGUCCUUUCUUUUCCAGUCGACGAUAGCGUCACUGCCACCACGACGCAGAGCACUACGUUCUCUUUCUUUUCAUCUUUACGUCUUCUUCGUUUCACUCGCUUGUGCGUGCGUUGACGUGUCCUUUUUGCCCUUUUCAUUCAACGUUUUUUCUUUGUUAUCGUUUUCUUUUUCUUUCGUAUGUGUGUGUGUGUGUGUGAAGGGGCGCCGAUCCUCUGCCGGCUCACUUGCUAGCCGAUAUUGGCCCUUCAUUUGGAUUUGGUGCUCUUCCCCUCCCCUCCCCUCCCCCCAGCAUCUGCACACACACACACACACACACACACACACACGAGGCGUGAAUUGCCGAAGCAAGUCCAUCGGCGAAGGAAAGGGGAGAAGCUGUGUGAGAGGCGCAAAGGUCUCUCCCUGUCGUUUCUCUGAAGAAGAGUCUCAUUAUUGGUCGAGGCUAAGAGGGGCAUCCUUUGGCUCUACUCUUCCAUAUCUGCGUCUCUCUUUCCUGGCCUGCUCGCUCUUUGACUCGCUGAGUGCGCGCAGCUGUAAGUGCGCUUGCCCGUCUACGCUGGCGUUUGGGUAUCUCGCUGCAUCUGCAACGUCUCAUACCAACGCGAUCGCUGGGCGCGGAUGCAAUGUUCGGCUGCGAGAUGAUGAGAUUGAGCAGCGGCAGCGUUCUCGGAGCUGCCCUGAGCCUUGCCGUCACCACCAUGGGUGCCGGCAUCCUCACACUGCCUUCCGCCUACGCAGAUGCAGGCAUCAUCCCUGCAACUCUUAUCCUCGUCGGUGUCGGCAUUCUCACGGUGUUCUCGAUAG